UCUCCCUUCGCGAAGCCUCUGGCUAAGGGCGCACGAGCUGCUACCGGGUCCCCCCGGGGGGGCGGGGGCUGUCCUGCGGGGAGAUCCUAGCUGCGUGCCGCCGGGGCUGCGAUUCCCGGCAGGAGGUGCCCGAGGUAGUACAGUCCGGCUCCAGGCUGUAUCCGAGUCACUCUGUUUCCCACAGCUGAGCAGGAUGGAAGUGGAAACAUAUCCAUUUGCCUGCUGUGUUUCCAGAGGGCCCAGCAACAGUUAAGUUGCCUUCAGCAAGAGAUGCAGUUUUGACCAGUGAAGGGGACAGCUUAAUUUUUACUGGAGACAUUCUUGACACUGCCACAACCACAACGCUACAAUCCAGAGUUCCAGAUUCUACUUCAGAAGACUAAGACUUUGGGAGGAGAUCCGGACCUGAGAGUUUGAUCAGCAAUGUACUGAAAACGUGGUAAUGGCCUUCACUCUGAACCAAAGCUAGUUUAAGUUUUUUAUCUUCAUUUUUCUUGUAAACAUUUCUGACUUUAAUGCCUCUUUACUUGUAUUCACUUAAAAUCUAGCUCUCUGUAGUUAAAUAAACUUUUCUUUAAUUGAAACUAA